GAAAAGGGACCAUGAUAUGGGACUCCGUACACCUUGGUAGCUUGUUCUAGAUAUAAUAUGUUUGUUUUUUGUCAUAACUGCGCAAUCCUAUGCCGUCAAAAGCCCGCAUGUGUUUCUGACCUGAAUCAAAGGUCGCGAACUGGUCUCGUGAAAAGUAACCCAGCUCCAAUCUCAAAUGUCCAAAACUAUUUGUGGCCCCACUUUGGAAAAGAGAAAUCUAGAUUAAUAUUUAUCGACAAUGAGGAAGAUUAUUUGUUAUCCUACCUAAUUCCGAUAGCAAAGCUAGCGAAGGUACGCGCAGAUAAGUGUGACGAUUCCAUACUGAUCGUAACAGAAAGUUCCGAGCGUGCUAAUCAUCUCUUUGAUUUGAUAACUGUUCACUGGGAAAAACAGAGAUCUGUGGUUGAGCUGACGUCUGCCGUUGAUACAUUUAUACCUAUUUUGGCCGAGGAUUAUCUUGAUCAUUAUGUUUUGAAAAUAAACAACGACGAUUCUUUACUAAUUCCGCUUAUUCAUCACACUAAUGUCAACUUCUAUCGACAUUGCUUAGAAAAUUCAAAAGUUGUUAUUUUUGAUGUUGAUUACAUAACUGCAGAAAUUAACCAAUUUAUUCUUUAUUUGGUCUCUAAUACUUACCAUGGCCAAAUUCUGUUGUUUCUCAAGCAAAUCGAAAGAUCAGUUUUUUUAUUGAUGAGAGCCAUAAAUGAAAAGCCAGCUGAUUUCAAUCUGACUCUGGUGUCGAAGCCAGAAAAUGCGCUUGUUAUCUCGCCUGUCAGACACAUUAUGUACAUGAUCGAUAAUUUGAGAAAACAUUGGUUUGAGUUUAUGGGUGAUAUAAUUCAAUGUACAAAUGGCAACGUGGCUAUAUUCUGUAAUUCAGAUGUGCAAGUUAAUCAACUGAAAGAGUAUUUCGAUUCAAAAUGUAGGAGUUCUUCGGCUAUCGCAUCUGACUGCUCUGCAAGCGACCAAGCAAAAGUUCUGUCGGACUUCCAAUCUUUCUCAGAUGUCUGCAAAAUCCUGAUUAUAAACGACGCAAUAACUGAUGGCCAUUUGAGUAUCCUCAAUUAUAAGAAUCCAAAUUUGUACGAUUUAUUUGCAAAACUUGGUAAAAUGCAACGCGUAAUUCAUUUUUCAUUUCCUGUAAAUGACCAAGUUUUAGUUAAGAGACUUUGGACAAUGCGUGAAAACUUCAAUAAAAAAGCGAAUGACAAAAAAUCAGAGCUAAUGAUGUAUGCUUCUUAUUAUUUUGUGCCUUCUGAUAUGCUAUCUGAUUUCAAAAUAGAAUCUCUUAAAAGUGCUAUAAAUUUUAUUGAAAGAUGUGAAACUGAAGUGCACAGCAGUGUUCGAAAAGUUCAAGAGUUCUAUAAAAUAAAUCUGGAAUGUUGAAACGUAGUUUUGAGAUGAUUGAACCUA